GUGAAUCAUCGAAUUUUUGAACGCAAAUUGCACUCUCUUCGGAGAGUAUGCCUGUUUGAGGGUCAGCAUAAAAAAAAAUCGACAUAGUCGCUGUUUCGCGGUGUCAUUAGUCGGAGAUUGGGUCUUCUUAAAUUUUUGGGUUUUAAUCGGCUUAAAAUUUUCUUUACGAUUUCACGACCGUUUCUAAGAUUUU
rnacentral:misc_RNA from 1 species